UACAGAGGUCCCAAGCGUUGUUCGGAUUCACUGGGCGUAAAGGGUGCGUAGGCGGUCAGGUAAGUCUGAUGUGAAAUCUCUGGGCUUAACCCAGAAAUGGCAUUGGAUACUAUUUGGCUUGAGAGUUGGAGGGGGGACUGGAAUUCUUGGUGUAGCAGUGAAAUGCGUAGAUAUCAAGAGGAACACCAGUGGCGAAGGCGAGUCUCUGGACAUUUCCUGACGCUGAGGCACGAAAGCCAGGGGAGCAAACGGG
rnacentral:rRNA from 1 species